UUUGAAAAUUUUCUGAGUGCUUAUUAUUCUCCAGAUUGCACAAGAAAAUCACCUGAGCCCAGUUGUUCAAAGGCCGAUUAGUGCUAGCCCAGGGUUAAAUUUUAAUGCAGGUUUCUAUAUUUCUUUUUUCCAAAGCCUUUUAGAGAAAUUUUUCCCUAUUCUUUUUCGAACAUCCAUUGAUCAAAUUACAAGCAAAAAGCUUUGAACUGAAUUUUCUUUUACAGCUUUCAGACCUGAAAUCAAAUUCCAUGCUAACCAUGGGUUAUCUUAACCCAGAUUUGAACAACCUGGGCCAGAUGAUUUGUCAAUGAUAGGGUGGAACCUUCAUUAAGAGGGCACCCCCAGGACUGUGAAGUGUCCCAUAAAUAUACCUGUGUUCCUUGAAUAGAGGGUGGGUGGAGUUUUGUUUAUAAUUAACCACUUGAACAAAAAUACCUGUUUUAUUCCCUUCAAAGCAGCCAUCUAUUAAAGCAACCAAAAAUGCAUGACGUAAGCUUUCGAUAGCAACCUUGGACUUUUUUAAAUUGUGAUUUGACUUGCUACUUGUAGACAACUGCUGCAAUAACCUGUCAAUAAGUGCAGAAUCAAUGUACAAUAAAAAUACAAAGUAUGUUCAUAUUUAUUUUGAAAGGCAUGCAGAAACUGGAACAACUCAGUGUCUUUGGUGGCAUUUUAAUCAUUAGCAGCUUAGUAGUUGUCCCCUUAAUGGGGGUUGAAACAGCACUUGCAGCACUCAAAGUGUCCCAAUCUCCUUAUAGAGGUGUAUCUGAGCAUUUUACCGGGACCAGGAAAAGCAUCUCCUUGUGAAGGUGUGCCAUGCCCAAAGUGGAGGUUCCAUAGCACACAUGAUGCACAACAUUUUUAAAUUCAACUUUGUGUCUAUUUCAAUUUUUGGCACUCAAUUCAAAUUUCAGAACUGUUUGGGAUUUUUGACAUGGUAAAAGUCAAUCAGCAGGCAUAAAUGUUUGUUGACUUAGUGUGGUAUACAUUAUAGUUGUUUAUUUUUUCCUUAUCAAAUUUAAGUAUGAUAAUGCAUGAUAUAUCAAUAUGUUGCAAUUUCUAUGCAACACAAAUUUAAAUGUAAUUGGAAUGAUUGUCCUGUAAAUGGGCAUGCAGGCAUAUUACGACAGCAAUGAAUCACUUUUCUGUGUGACUUUUGUAUAAAAUUCUAAAAAUUGAAUUAGAAUUUCAUAUUUGCUUUUUCCCUUAUGAAAUCACUCUAUUCAAACAUGUCCAUAGUUUGAAUCAAGGGUAUUGUUUCAUUGUUUGGUUGUAUAAUGCAUAAUACCUGUAGCAUUUUAACUGUAACUUAAAUAAACAUCUUUAUCAAUUAUGCUUGUUUCAAUUUUAGCAAAGAUUCGAUUUAACAACCAGAACUGUAUAAAUGGGAUCUGUAAUGAAUAACAUGUUAAGUGUCAGCUAAAGCAGUGGUGGCAAUGUUUCUCUCUCUCUAAAGGCAUUGAGUCCAGCUUGAAAUGGAUGACCCUCUGACAUUGUGAAGAUAUUGCUUGCAGCAGUAAGCCUGUCAUCAUCCCUCGGGAAUGUUGUUCUGUAGUCUUGUGCAGAGAUGUCAUGUUUGGUCAGUUUCUGCUGAAGGUCAUCAAUGGGCAGCAUUUUAUAAAAAAAUUUCAGUUUGUUAAUGACUUUAAAUAUGCCAAGACCAGCAGCUGCCAGAUCUUGCAUGGACUUUUGGACCAGAUUGACAUUUGGAUGGCAGUGCAAGGAAAAGCUUGUGUUGAUGCGGCAGGCAGUUGUGCAUGGCCCUUUCAUUCUUAAGAUUCUAAGGGUAAUAACCUCAUUUGCCACACCCACGUUUAUCACCUUAGCAGAGCCAUUAAUUUUGCUGGCCUACAAUAAAGGUAAAUUUA